CUAAGCCGGGCACCAUCAAGCCGCACACCAAGUUCGAAUCUGAAGUGUACAUUCUGUCCAAAGAUGAAGGCGGCCGUCAUACUCCGUUCUUCAAAGGCUACCGUCCGCAGUUCUACUUCCGUACUACUGACGUGACUGGUACCAUCGAACUGCCGGAAGGCGUAGAGAUGGUAAUGCCGGGCGACAACAUCAAAAUGGUUGUUACCCUGAUCCACCCGAUCGCGAUGGACGACGGUCUGCGUUUCGCAAUCCGUGAAGGCGGCCGUACCGUUGGCGCGGGCGUUGUAGCAAAAGUUCUGAGCUAAUUGCCGAUAACAUUUGACGCAAUGCGCA
rnacentral:rRNA from 1 species